UUAGCUGAAACCAAAUUAGAGGUAAAUCACUGUUAAUGAUUUUAUUGAGAGAUCCUGCUGUU
rnacentral:tRNA from 1 species